rnacentral:tRNA from 2 species
GCGGGUGUAACCCAACAGGCAGAGGUAGAGGACUUAAAAUCCUUUCAGUGUGGGUUCGAAUCCCACCACCCGUACCA